GGUAUGAUAUUUGUGCAUCCGUCUUACUCAUCAUUAUUCAUUAUCCAUAAUCAUGGUAGCAUCCACAUUAAUGUAGAAGUGUUAAGAAACAUAUUCCAUUCUUAUUUACAAUAAAAGUGACACCAAAAUGACAAUGCAUGAUUUACCAUUCAUUCCUACUGGUCACAAAAUAAUCUGAAACACAACCACGGCAAACUGCAAAUCCAUCCAAGUUUGUAGAGUUGGAGUACUUACUGUAUGAUGGUGUAUGGUGUUUGAUAUGAUAUUUGAAAACAAAAUGAGAUUUUGGUUUCAAAUUCAACUCGUCAUUGCAGCAGGUCCAAGCGUAUCAGCACUUGAGAACCCCAUCACCUCUUGAUGUCAAAAGCAAGAUAGGUUUUCGAAUACCCAGGUAUAAUUUAUUUUUGUAAAACAUCAAAUCAAAAGUACAUUUUUAAAGGGGCAAUCAGCAAUUCCUACAUCCAUUUUUGGACUAAUAAAUUGAUCAGUACUCAUUUGAUUCUUGAAUAAUAUAACUUUAAUUUAAAGGCCUCAUAAGCUUAGUUCAACUGUCGUACCCCAUCAGAACCCAAAAUAUAAGCUUGUUUUACUCCAAUGUUUGUAAACAAACCAAAUGUAAACAAACUAUAUAGCCUGGAAACAUGGUUUAGAGUUUAAUUUUGAUAUCGUGGUUGGUCAAUCCUUGCAUCCAUAGCUCGGUCUAUGAAUUUGAGUGAUUUACAUUUCUCCAGCCCCGUCCCUCAACUUUUAACCAAACCAGUGGGGGAGGCCGCUUUGCAAUUGUUUUUACUGCUGAUUGCCGCUUUAAAGUAAUUUUGUUGAUGUCUAUUGGCGCACACACAACUAUCAUAAUGUCAAUACAGGGUUUAGCGAUGUCUGAUAUUGUUCCCAAGUUGUUUAUUGAUGAAAUGGAUGAUAGUAUUAUACUGAGUUGUCUACUAGGUGUUUUAACCUAUGCCCAUUUCAGUCUGUUGUCAGAAACUUGAUUCAAUGGGGGCCAUGUUGUUUCCCUCGUUAAUUUAGAAUGUGAUCACUAAGUGUGAGAUUUGUAUAACAAAGUCAGUCUAGUUUUUUUCAACUUAGUAUAAGUUUGUUUUAAAACUAUGAAGGUGUGGCAUUUCUAAUGAAUGAUUUAUAUUGUACUUGGUGUCUGAUCAUUGGUACUGCAAAAGUGUCAACUUCCUUAUAGAUCUAGAUACACAUUUCAGCCCCUCCCCCUGGGUCCAUACAAUCUCACAGCAAACAAAAUGAUGGGCUUUUAUGCAGCGUCUGUAUGAGAUGUAUAAAUACUACAGUACUUAUAAUGCAUAGGCCACUACACUCGUGCCCGUUUACGGGUUGAAAAUGGCAGAUUUAGUCACUGAUAAGUGUCUAAAUUGGAACACAGUGGCUGUACAGUAACAUGCUAUACAUUACGUCAGAGCUCUGCGCUUCACAGCGCUGUGUGGGUUUUGACUGACAGCCGUUCUGAACUUGAGCACCGCACGCGACAAGAAGCUGCUCCCAUCCCUCCUGCUAAUUGGGCAACUUUUGAAAAUGUUUUGUCUCAGUGAGGGAAAUGCUGUCAAUCAAGAGGAUUCAAUGUAUUUUGAAAGAUGAGACGUUGAUGAUUAUAAUAAAUACCGCUUUGAUGUCA